UGGGGAAUCUUGCGCAAUGCGCGAAAGCGUGACGCAGCAACGCCGCGUGGGGGAAGAAGGCCUUCGGGUUGUAAACCCCUUUCAGGAGGGACGAAGCCCGGGCGGUGAAUAGCCGUUCCAGGUGACGGUACCUCCACAAGAAGCUCCGGCUAACUACGUGCCAGCAGCCGCGGUAAUACGUAGGGGGCAAGCGUUGUCCGGAAUCAUUGGGCGUAAAGAGCGCGUAGGCGGCCCGAUAAGUCCGCUGUGAAAGUCAAGGGCUUAACCCUUGGAUGCCGGUGGAAACUGUCGGGCUAGAGUCCGGAAGAGGCGAGUGGAAUUCCUGGUGUAGCGGUGAAAUGCGCAGAUAUCAGGAGGAACACCGAUGGCGAAGGCAGCUCGCUGGGACGGUACUGACGCUGAGGCGCGAAAGCGUGGGGAGCAAACAGGAUUAGAUACCCUGGUAGUCCACGCCGUAAACGAUGGGCACUAGGUGUGGGAGGUGUCGACUCCUCCCGUGCCGAAGCUAACGCAUUAAGUGCCCCGCCU
rnacentral:rRNA from 1 species